UACAGAGGUCUCAAGCGUUGUUCGGAUUCAUUGGGCGUAAAGGGUGCGUAGGCGGCGCGGUAAGUCGGGUGUGAAAUCUCGGGGCUUAACUCCGAAACUGCAUUCGAUACUGCCGUGCUCGAGGACUGGAGAGGAGACUGGAAUUUACGGUGUAGCGGUGAAAUGCGUAGAUAUCGUAAGGAAGACCAGUGGCGAAGGCGGGUCUCUGGACAGUUCCUGACGCUGAGGCACGAAGGCCAGGGGAGCAAACGGG
rnacentral:rRNA from 1 species